rnacentral:lncRNA from 1 species
GUGGUCUGCACUGCGCCCAGCAGUCCCCAAGCUCAGGGGCCCGGGAGCUAAGGAGUUAUAUUUUGACUGGAGACUAUUUCCUUCUCUCCUCCUUUUAUUUUAAACACUCUGGAUGCACAGGGACAAACUCUGGAGUAGUCCCUCCGCCUGCCAAUGUUUUGUUUGAUUUUGUUUUUAAAUCUCAAGUAAUGUGUGGAGGAGGCGCAGUAACAAGUUUGCCAGGUUUUUAAAAUGUAGAUUGGCUUUUAGAUGUUCCUUCGAAAUGUCAGAGUGUCGGUGUUGUUUUUCCACAGCAGCGUUUACGCCCACGCGAGGGCACACGCACACACAUACACACACGCACGCUCACGCGUGCAGACACUACCAUGCAUGUACACACUCGUACACACCCACGCUCACACUUGCAGACACUAACACACAUGUACACACUCACACACACGCAUGCUCACACGUGCAGACACUAACAUGCGUGCACACACACACAGGUUCUUACAACCACACUCAGGGAAAACUGGCUGCCUUCUGCCCCUGGACACACGGCCCCCACUCAGCGCCUGUCCCCAAGCCUCGCCUCACCAAUCAGGCACCACUCCUGCCUCCGAAUCCCAGGGGACAAGAGGCAGAGCCCAUAUGUCAGGAGUGGAGAGAGAGGGGGCUUCUGCAGACCCCGAGAGGCUGGGUGGGCGGCACAGCCCCCAGCUCCUAAACAAACCCAGCAGGCCAGGGCAGAUGACAAAUGACGGGAUUGUGUCAGCUUGAGAGCAGAUUGGACUAAUGGCAUGCCGGCCUCUGUUCUCCAAGGAUCAAUAUUCCAUCAGGCCGGCCGUGUGAGUCGCGCUCCUGAGGACAAAGGGGGCGACUGGCGGUCACCUGCACACGCUGCCCCCAGCGCCCCCUUCGCNNNNNNNNNNNNNNNNNNNNNNNNNNNNNNNNNNNNNNNNNNNNNCCUGGCCCCCUUCCCGGCCCCCCCCCGCCCCCCCCUAGGGAGAGGCUUCCAGAAAGCUCCACCUGCCUCUUCUGUGGCCUUUCCACCUUGUGUCCAGCGCUGGGGAGCCACUGUCCUACCUGGUCUUCCUCAAGGGCUUUCCAGCAGCCUCCCUGCCCUAUGGCUCCCGGGAGGCUGGAUCCAACUCAGAUGCUAACUCCAGACAGGUGUGUGGCCGGCCCCCCACCAGAGGACACCAGGCCAAGUCCUUCUCGGGAGCAGUGCAAGGGCCGGUCCCAGGCCUCAGGGCACCCUUGUCCUCUAGAAGGUCACCCCAGAGAGGCCCGCUCCCUGCGUCCCUCCCACCCGUAUUGAGUACCUACUGUAUACAAAUCAAAAUCAAAGCCAAGGACGGAGGUUCGUGCCAGCCGUGUGGGUGGGGCCGUGUGGGGGCAGGGAAGGAUGGGCCGUCUGUUUCCCUGGUCUCAUCCCGUGCAAAUUUUACCAAGAUGACGGCUCUCCUGGAAGCCACCGAUCCCGCUCCUGGGCAGCAGGCCCUGGUCUGGGCUUGAUCCCUCUGGAGCAAGGGCCCUCAUCUUUCCUGGCCGGGCCGCCCCUGCUGCCUGGGUCAGAGGCUGCCUGUGGGGCCUCAGCCCUGGCUCUGGUUACAGACACCGCGUGGGCCCACCUACCCCAGAUCAUCCCAAGCCGAGGCCAGAUCUGACAGGGGUCUCCUGGGCAGGGGGCUGACCUGGGGUGGGGCAGGUCAGGUCAGAGCAGCUUCUCCCGGCCCGGUCGUGUUGUCCAGCUCUGCCUGGGGAUCAGGCCCUGGCAGAUCACUUGGCUUAGGGUUUGGACCCCAUGGGCUGCCCCCCUCAGUCCCAGGGAAGGUCAGCAUUGCUUCGACUGGCUCUUACACAGCUCGGCACCAGAUGCUUCAGAACCAACAUGUGGUCUGGGAGCUCAGCCACCCAUAGCCAAGGCCCAGGCCAUGGCCUGGACGCCACUCCCGCCUGGGCCCAACGGUGUUCUGAGCGUGGGGACAGCGUGCAUCCGUGCUGGGGCGGGGUGGCGGGGGAGAUGGCGCCUCGCUGCGUUUCCGCCCUUAGCUCCUGUGGCCUGGGCUCUGCUCUAACCCUCCUGGCAUAACCGCUGCUGGUCUUUCCAUCGUCUCACCCACCUCCGUGAGGGGGGCCUGGGCAGCAGGGUUAAGGCCAUUUCAACUACGCUUGUGGCCCAGGGGUGCGCAGGGCUGGCCCGGGGUUCCUGCGGUCGUGGCCAAGGCCGUCCUCAGGAGAAGGAAAUCAGAUUGGACCGUGCAGGCCCGGGGCCCACUGGAAACGUGGGGAGGCUGGGGAGCCAGAGCAGGGCCAGCCCCCAGUCCUGCUCCGGCAUCGCCGGUCCCUCCAGGGCAGCGAGGGACAGCCUCAGGUCUGGGGGAAGCGUGAGGGCCCAGGUGGGCAGGGUGCUCGGUGUCACCUUGUCACUGGCUGCCACACGGGCUGUUCCACGAUCUCUUUUCCAGCCUCUCAGGUGUGAUUCGUUGAGUUAUCCAGACCAGAGAAGCCCGCUCUUUCUCCCUCCUCCACGCAGGCAUCUCCAGCUUGGGGCCCAGGGCUGGGGGCACGGGGAGCUCCCGGGUGAUCUGGAUGCACAUGGGUUUGGGCCUGGGCAGGGCUGGCAUCGGGGAGCUACAGACCAGCUGCCCCGACUCCUUGGGGGGCUCAUAAACCCGAGGAGCUCAUAAACCCUGGUCCUUGGGAGCUGGAAGCACAUUCCUGAGCUUUCCUUCAAAAACCAGGAGGGUCCAGGUUGUAGCGUGGUGGCCUCGGACCACCCCCCCCCACGGGAACGCAGCCUUCCAGCCGUGCUCGGAUGUUCCUAAUGGCUUUGUGGCCUGUGUCUGGGCCACUCACUUGCUGAGACCGACCGACGGGCCGCGAGCUGUCCCGGGGACCUCAGGGCUCACGUGGUCUCAGCUGCUGGGCAGGAGAACUCGAGGGCCAGGGUGCCGAGGAACACGAGCACCAGGCCCCCAGGGCAGGGCUCGGCUGGGUCACGUGUGCACACCUGUGUGCGUGGGAGCGUGUGCGUGUACUGUGUGAAUGUGCACGUGGGCAUGUGCAGGGGUGCAGGCAGGAGGGCACGAGCAGCAGCUCUGUGGUCGCGUGGCACCGAGGACGCCCGCAAAAGAGAAGCCCUGGGAGCCCCGCCGGGCCUGCCCGGGGCUCGGC